UCAGCAUCAAUAUGGUCACCUCCUGGGAACAGGGAACCACCAGGUUGCCUAGGAGGGGUGAACCGGCCCAGGUCAGAAAUGGAACAGGUAAAAACUCCCAUGCGGA
rnacentral:SRP_RNA from 1 species